CGGGAGGCAGCAGUGAGGAAUAUUGGUCAAUGGACGCGAGUCUGAACCAGCCAAGUAGCGUGAAGGAAGACUGCCCUAUGGGUUGUAAACUUCUUUUGUUAGGGAAUAAAGUGCACCACGUGUGGUGUUUUGUAUGUACCUAACGAAUAAGGAUCGGCUAACUCCGUGCCAGCAGCCGCGGUAAUACGGAGGAUCCGAGCGUUAUCCGGAUUUAUUGGGUUUAAAGGGUGCGUAGGCGGACUAGUAAGUCAGCUGUGAAAGUUAGUGGCUCAACCACUAAAUUGCAGUUGAAACUGUUGGUCUUGAGUAUACAUGAGGUGAGCGGAAUUUGUGGUGUAGCGGUGAAAUGCAUAGAUAUCACAAGGAACUCCAAUUGCGAAGGCAGCUCACUGGGGUAUAACUGACGCUGAGGCACGAAGGUGCGGGUAUCAAACAGGAUUAGAUACCCUGGUAGUCCGCACAGUAAACGAUGAAUACUCGCUGUUUGCGAUAUACAGUAAGCGGCCAAGCGAAAGCACUAAGUAUUCCACCUGGGGAGUACGCCGGCAACGGUGAAACUCAAAGGAAUUGACGG
rnacentral:rRNA from 1 species